rnacentral:rRNA from 1 species
AUUAUGUCUGUAUCACGGGUUACCCGCUAGAAUUUAUACACGGUCCGGUUCACGGGAGGGGCUUCGCCUCCUGGAUUCAGCGGCGGACGGGUGAGUAAUGCCUAGGAUUCUGCCUAGUAGUGGGGGACAACGUUUCGAAAGGAACGCUAAUACCGCAUACGUCCUACGGGAGAAAGUGGGGGAUCUUCGGACCUCACGCUAUUAGAUGAGCCUAGGUCGGAUUAGCUAGUUGGUAGGGUAAAGGCCUACCAAGGCGACGAUCCGUAACUGGUCUGAGAGGAUGAUCAGUCACACUGGAACUGAGACACGGUCCAGACUCCUACGGGAGGCAGCAGUGGGGAAUAUUGGACAAUGGGCGAAAGCCUGAUCCAGCCAUGCCGCGUGUGUGAAGAAGGCCUUCGGGUCGUAAAGCACUUUAAGUUGGGAGGAAGGGCUCAUAGCGAAUACCUGUGAGUUUUGACGUUACCAACAGAAUAAGCACCGGCUAACUUCGUGCCAGCAGCCGCGGUAAUACGAAGGGUGCAAGCGUUAAUCGGAAUUACUGGGCGUAAAGCGCGCGUAGGUGGGCUUGAUAAUUUGGAUGUGAAAUCCCCGGGCUCAACCUGGGAACUGCAUCCAAAACUGUCUGGCUAGAGUGCGGGAGAGGGUAGUGGAAUUUCCAGUGUAGCGGUGAAAUGCGUAGAUAUUGGAAGGAACACCGGUGGCGAAGGCCACUACCUGGACUGACACUGACACUGAAGGUGCGAAAGCGUGGGGAAGCAAACAGGAUUAAAUACCCUUGCUAGUCCACACCUAAACCAAUGUCACUAGCCGUUGGGGAUCUUGGAGAUCUUAGGCCCACUAACCAUUAAGGUGACCGGCUGGGGGAGUACGGCCGCAAGGUAAAAAUAAAUGGAGUGGCGGGGGCCGCCCAGGGGGGGAGUUGUGUUUAAUCAAAACCACACCAAAAACUUACCUGGCCUGAAUUGCUGAAACUUUCCGAGAUGGGUUGGUGGCCCUAGGGACCCAAAACAGGGGGCUGCUGGCUGUCCCCGGUGUUGUCGGAAAAGUUGGUUUAACCCAAACAAGCCCUCCUUUUGCCUUCUUCCGCCGGUUGGGGGGGCCCCUAGGUAACGCCGGUAUCAACCUG